rnacentral:rRNA from 1 species
AGUAAAUAGAUACCCGGGUAGUCCACGCCGUAAACGAUGAGUACUAGGUGUAGGAGGUAUCGACUCCUUCUGUGCCGCAGUUAAACACAAUAAGUACUCCGCCUGGGAAGUACGGUCGCAAGAUUAAAACUCAAAGGAAUUGACGGGGGCCCGCACAAGCAGCGGAGCAUGUGGUUUAAAUUCGAAGCAACGCGAAGAACCUUACCUAGACUUGACAUCUCCUGAAUAGUGUAGAGAUACAUGAAGCCCUUCGGGGCGAGGAAGACAGGUGGUGCAUGGUUGUCGUCAGCUCGUGUCGUGAGAUGUUGGGUUAAGUCCCGCAACGAGCGCAACCCUUAUUAC